AUGGACACUCCUUCUGAAGGAGAUGUCGCUGGUGGCACGGAUGGAUGUUCUUCACUGGAUUGUUCUAAUCAAGGCAAGACUACCAGUGGCAGUGAUGACUCCGGAACUGCGCUGGUUACUAUUCCACCAGAAUAUUGCGAUGCAACGAUUAUGGAUCCUUUUUUAGGCCAGGGCAAGCCAUCUAAGGGGGUUCAAAAAUCUGUGAAGAGAGGUUGCGGUGCCAUGAUGCGCAUACACAGACAUGAAGAACAUAAGUGGAUCAUCACACAACUCCGGCAAGAACACAAUCACCCCCUUACAACCAGUACAGACCAGAACAGGGCCAUGGAACUUGCCAUCAAAGCUGUAUUCCCUAACACAAUCCAUAGGUGGUGUAAAUGGCACAUUUUUUACAAAGCCAAAGAACAUAUAGGUCCUACUCUUUACAGCAAGACAUCUGAUUUCAAAGACAAGUUCCAUAGAGUUCUUAAUCAUACAAGGACCAUAGGUGAGUUUGAAGGUGCUUGGAACUCACUUAUUGCUGAGUAUGAUCUCCAUAGCAACACCUGGCUACAAGAUGUGUGGGAUAAACGUGAUCGUUGGGCGCCACCGUACUUCAAAGAUUAUUUCUUUGCAAAGAUGACGACAACGCAACGCAGCGAGUGCAUGAAUCAUGUGCUCAAAGCCUAUGUUUCACCAUCAUCAACCAUGCAUAACUUUGUUAAACAAUACGAUAAAUUUAUUGCGGAUAGGAUUGCGGCUGAGGACAAACUUGAGUUCGACACUUCGAAGGAUGCAAGGCAACCGGGAUGUGGUUCGCCAAUAGAGAGGAAAGCUGCUAAAGUUUACACGGACACCAUGUUUGCGAAGUUCAGCGACCAGGUAUACAUGAGUGCAUCUUACUUUGUCCAAGAAAUCAGAGAUGAUGGCACAUACAUAACUGUUCACAUGGAUUGUGAUACGAGGGAAAACUGGAGUAAGUUGGAGUUUCCAGUUCAUGUAAAUGAAGAUGAAGAGGAAUACAGAUGUAUUUGUAGAUUGUUUGAACACAUGGGCAUAUUAUGCUCACACAUAAUCAGGGUUAUGAUGCAUAUUGGGUGCCGGACUCUUCCAGACAAAUACAUCAAGAAAAGAUGGACGAGCAAUGCCCGAGAAGGAAAUAAAAGUAGAUUCGACGUGGAUGCUGCUGCUUCGAGGACUCACCGGCGUACCCUGUUAUUCGAAGCUUGCAUGGACCUAUCAUCCAAAGGUGAUGCAUCAGUUGAUGCGCACCAUGUUGCAAUGAGGAAAAUUACUGAAGCUUUACAGGAGAUCCGUUUGCUGCCAACCCAAGAAGAUGCUACGGCUAUACCUCAAGUCCACACAACGUCUACACAUUUAUCUACAGAAUCAGAUGAUGAGUGCGCCAAUGAAAUGGAAGGAGAGGACAUCUUGGAAGCUCAAAUGCAUGACGAUGUGCUUCCACCUGACCGACGCAAGAAGCGAGGACAUCCGAGGACAGCAAGGCUCAAAUCUGUUGCGGAAGGUGGUGUAGUUCAAAAUGUUUCUACGGAUGAAGAUGAUAAAUAA
rnacentral:rRNA from 1 species